AGCCUCCUUGUCCUUCGGGAGAUCAUUUGUUUUCUUUGGUUUUCUCUUCGCGGUGCCUAGGACGGAUAAACCCUAACCAGAUCUUCGCCAUGCCCGGGCCGGAUGGCUGGCUCCUCCUCCGGCAGCGGCACCGCCCCCCAGCCCCCUCACAAGCCUUCUUUUUCUUCUCUGGUCGUCCCGGUGCGGCCUCCACCGCUCGGCUUCAACAUUGACUAGCUUCCGUUGCCGUUCAUGGAGAAUGGUGUGGUUUCAGUUCGUAUCUCGGAGGCUCCUUUCCUCGGUGGUCUAGAACGCUGCAAGACAAACCUUGUGGGCAAGUUUGAACUGGUGAUUGUUUGAAUAUCAUUUUGGUUUGAUUCAACGGUAUAAAUAAUUGAAGCAUAAUAUUAGUGUGUGGUAACUUUUCUCAAAGAUACCAAUUGAGGUUUAUGCUGUAAUACUAUAAAAGUAUAAAUGUCUAAUACACUAAUAUGAGUGAUAAUAUAUUCAUAUUAGCUUCUGUCUUGUGGAUGGUGUAGUGGAGUAGGUCCUGUACUUGGCAUAAUGUUUUGGUAAUGAUUAAUUACAGAGGUAUGCUGAGUAUACUUAGUAUGCAUUAUGUAGACAUGUAUCCUAAAGACAUGUGAUUUGAUUCUAGGCAUUUUGUUAUGCAAGGCGCUUACCAUUUUUUUGGACUCAAAUGUCCCAGCAUGGCUUGCUAUCUUUGCUGCAGUCAUCCUUGUACUUGCUUUUACGAAGGUUCCUCACUAAUUCUUAUCUUUGGGAAGAGGCUCCACCAAUUCAUACCGCUUCCUUGCAUUUUGGUUACCUCCUCCAUGUAUCUAACCUUCUGUAUAGUUCUGUUAGUUGCAACAGUUAAAGGCCAAUCCUGAUAGAAGUGCAAAAUGCAGUCAUUGAGGCUGGUCUUGAUAAAUCUAGAGAACCUUUAGUUACACUUAUCGUGCAAAAUGGAACCGUUAGAAAGGGGGACAUAGUAGUGUGUGGAGUAGCCUUUGGAAAGGUUGGUUGAUUACUCCUUGUUUUGAUGUAAUCAUAUGUAAUGUUGACAAAAGAUGAAAAUCCUCAUUUAUAUUAUUUGUCAUUUGGGUUCACAGGUCUUGUCAGCUUCUAGCUUAAGAGCUCUUGGGUCUGAUGGUGAAGUAGAAGGGAUUGGUUAAGUUGUGGCCUUAGACAAUGAUUAAGUCUUGUAGAUAAGGGGAGCUUGCGCUGGAAGGAGCUCAUUAUUUGACAACAGGGGAGCUCGUGAGUCUCAGGGAGCAGCAGCUUGUGGACUGUGAUCAUGAGGAAGUGAGAGGCUUGUCUUGUUAAGCUUUCUUGAAUAAGAGCUAAAGCUGCUAGUAUAUGCUUUUGCCUUUGAAAUAUAGGUUUGGAUCUUUUUCUUCAAGUCUGAGAAUAAUGAACUACCAAGAGAGUUUUGUACUGUAAACCAUAUGUAAACCAUGUUUGCUGCAAUAUAAGUUUCUUCUGUUCCAAAAUC